GACGAACGCUGGCGGCGUGCUUAACACAUGCAAGUCGAACGGAAAGGCCCUGCAUUUGUGGGGUGCUCGAGUGGCGAACGGGUGAGUAACACGUGAGUAACCUGCCCUUGACUUUGGGAUAACUUCAGGAAACUGGGGCUAAUACCGGAUAGGAGCUCCUGCUGCAUGGUGGGGGUUGGAAAGUUUCGGCGGUUGGGGAUGGACUCGCGGCUUAUCAGCUUGUUGGUGGGGUAGUGGCUUACCAAGGCUUUGACGGGUAGCCGGCCUGAGAGGGUGACCGGCCACAUUGGGACUGAGAUACGGCCCAGACUCCUACGGGAGGCAGCAGUGGGGAAUAUUGCACAAUGGGCGGAAGCCUGAUGCAGCAACGCCGCGUGUGGGAUGACGGCCUUCGGGUUGUAAACCGCUUUCGCCUGUGACGAAGCGUGAGUGACGGUAAUGGGUAAAGAAGCACCGGCUAACUACGUG
rnacentral:rRNA from 1 species